GUGGGGAAUUUUUCGCAAUGGGGGAAACCCUGACGAAGCAACGCCGCGUGGGGGAUGAAGGUCCUCGGAUUGUAAACCCCUGUCGACCGGGACGAAAGCUGUUGGUCCUAAUACGACCGACAGUCGACUGUACCGGUGGAGGAAGCCACGGCUAACUCUGUGCCAGCAGCCGCGGUAAUACAGAGGUGGCAAGCGUUGUUCGGAAUUACUGGGCGUAAAGGGCGCGUAGGCGGCCCUGUAAGUCCCGCGUGAAAGCCCUCGGCUCAACCGAGGAACUGCGCGGGAGACUGCAAGGCUUGAGUUCGGGAGAGGGAAGUGGAAUUCCGGGUGUAGCGGUGAAAUGCGCAGAUAUCCGGAGGAACACCGGUGGCGAAGGCGGCUUCCUGGACCGACACUGACGCUGAGGCGCGAAAGCUAGGGGAGCAAACGGGAUUAGAAACCCGUGUAGUCC
rnacentral:rRNA from 1 species